UUGGAUUAUGCAUAGGGGUGCUCUGUUUCGAAGGUAGCAAGACAGGGCAUUUCUGUCGGUUGUUUCCAUGGUGGCUCACAAUUCAGGGAUGUGCUGGCUGGGUAGCGUUGGUCAUGGUUGUUUGUGGAGGAGUAUGCAGUGGCUUUGUUUGUUGAGACGCUAACCCACGAGGUGGUCAGAAGUUUAUGUGCGAGGCGAAGCUAGGCUAAG